rnacentral:rRNA from 1 species
UACGUAGGGGGCAAGCGUUUGUCCGGAUUUAUUGGGCGUAAAGAGCGUGUAGGCGGCCAAGCAGGUCCGCUGUGAAAACUCGAGGCUCAACCUCGAGACGUCGGUGGAAACCGUUUGGCUAGAGUCCGGAAGAGGAGAGUGGAAUUCCUGGUGUAGCGGUGAAAUGCGCAGAUAUCAGGAAGAACACCCGUGGCGAAGGCGGCUCUCUGGGACGGUACUGACGCUGAGACGCGAAAGCGUGGGGAGCGAACAGG